rnacentral:rRNA from 1 species
GGCUCAGGAUGAACGCUAGCGGCAGGCUUAACACAUGCAAGUCGAGGGGUAUUGGUUUUCGGACCAAGAGACCGGCGCACGGGUGCGUAACGCGUAUGCAAUCUACCUUUUGCAGAGGGAUAGCCCAGAGAAAUUUGGAUUAAUACCUCAUAGUAUAGCAGUUUCGCAUGAAACCACUAUUAAAGUCACAACGGCAAAAGAUGAGCAUGCGUCCCAUUAGCUAGUUGGUAAGGUAACGGCUUACCAAGGCUACGAUGGGUAGGGGUCCUGAGAGGGAGAUCCCCCACACUGGUACUGAGACACGGACCAGACUCCUACGGGAGGCAGCAGUGAGGAAUAUUGGACAAUGGGCGCAAGCCUGAUCCAGCCAUGCCGCGUGCAGGAUGACGGUCCUAUGGAUUGUAAACUGCUUUUGUACAGGAAGAAACACUCCCUCGUGAGGGAGCUUGACGGUACUGUAAGAAUAAGGAUCGGCUAACUCCGUG